CUCUCUCUCUCUCAUUGUGAUUUUACGAAACAAUGUCUCGUCUUCACACACAUCCUUCCUUCUUCACCCUCCACAUUUCCAAGUUAACAAGCUUCCCCGUCCAAGCCAAGAAGAACAGAGAGAUCUCAAUGCCUUGUUUCAGUUCCAACAUGACCCAAGAUUAAGUCGUUAUUGAUCACUCCAGUCCAGUGCUUCAGCCUUUGUAAUUAAACAUAAUGAUUUGUUUGUUUGAGCUAUCUCCUGCAACAUUUGGCGCA